rnacentral:rRNA from 1 species
GGGGGAUAUUGCACAAUGGGGGGAACCCUGAUGCAGCGACGCCGCGUGAGGGAAGACGGCCUUCGGGUUGUAAACCUCUGUCGCAGGGGACGAAGGAGGUGACGGUACCCUGUGAGGAAGCCACGGCUAACUACGUGCCAGCAGCCGCGGUAAUACGUAGGUGGCGAGCGUUGUCCGGAAUUACUGGGUGUAAAGGGAGCGUAGGCGGGAUAUUAAGUUGAAUGUAUAAACUACCGGCUUAACCGAUAGAAGCGUUCAAAACUGAUAUUCUUGAGUGAAGUAGAGGCAGGCGGAAUUCCUAGUGUAGCGGUGAAAUGCGUAGAUAUUAGGAGGAACACCAGUGGCGAAAGCGGCCUGCUGGGCUUUAACUGACGCUGAGGCUCGAAAGCGUGGGUAGCAAACAGGAUUAGAUACCCUG